rnacentral:rRNA from 1 species
GAUGAACGCUAGCGGCAGGCCUAAUACAUGCAAGUCGAACGGUAAGCUGGGUAGUAAUAUUCAGCCAAGAGUGACGUACGGGUGCGUAACACGUAUGCAACCUACCCUUUACAGAUGGAUAGCUCGGGGAAACUCGAAUUAACCCGUCAUAAAAUAAUUGGAUGGCAUCAUUUGAUUAUUAAAACUGAGGUGGUAAAGGAUGGGCAUGCGUCUGAUUAGUUAGUUGGGGGGUAACGCCCACAAGACGAUGAUCAGUAGGGGAACUGAGAGGUUGACUCCCCCANACUGGCACUGAGAUACGGGCCAGACUCCUACGGGAGGCAGCAGUAGGGAAUA